CUUACGUUUUUUUCUUACUCCUACUUUAAUUUCUCUCUCUCUCUCUCUCUCUCUCUCUCUCUCUCUCUCUCUCUCUCUCUCUCUCCCUCUUUUUUUUCCCUCUUUUUUCCCUUAGCGAUACACCCACGCAUAGGUCGUGACGUCACUCAGCAGCUGCACGUGGGCGAAUUCAAACAUAUCCCCCUUCUUUUCAAUCUUCUCCCUCUCCCUUCCUCUCUUUCUAUUUCUUUCUCUUUCUCUCUCUCCCUUUUUCCUUCUUUCACCAUUUCUCAAUCUCUCUCUCUCUCUCUCUCUCUCCUUUUCUGUUUCCUCUUUUUUCAUCUCUCUUUUUCGCAAGCUCACUCUUCAUACUCUCCUUGUUCUCCUCGUCAAAGGUAAAAUAAAAAAUCGUAGGAAGUCAGAGACGAAGCGAAAAAGAUUUUCCCUGCACUUUACUCCCUCCAUAUGUUUUACUCAUUCACUGAACCUUUAUAUUGUGUGUGUAUAUGUAUAUAUAUAUAUAUAUACACACGAUAUAUAUGUAUUUUAGUACACAAAAUCUCGUAGCGUACCGGUUGUUACUUAUUUGAAAUCUCCUUAGAGUCUUACUAUGUACAAAAAAGGGCGUACGUAAAUAUAUAUAUAUGCACCUUAAUUUCGUUCGUUCUUUGACUUUCUCUCUCUUUUUCUCUCUCUCGCUCUCUCACUUUUUCUUUCUCUCUUACUUUUUAUCAACACUAAUAGCAGUAUGGUUUUUAUGAAGCUUUCAAAUUAUAUAUGCAUUCAUUCGACGAUUCCAAAUGCGUAUAAGCCGUAGUCGAUGAUGACGAUAGCUCUGGUUGGCGCUAAAGCGAACGGGAACGAUCAGUUCUCCAAUUUCAAUGAGAUUCAAUACUCGUGUAACUAUAGAUAGGUAAUUUUGUGACGUUGGCGAGGGAAUCGAGUCCGAGAGUGUUUGUGGCUUCUAUUAAAGGCUUCUAUAUUAAAUGCAUUUAUAUAGUACCACACCAAUAGGGCAUCUCACCGGGGUUCUGAUUUUCCAAUAAAAUUGAUCGAGCCAUUUUUCCUACGUUAUAUUGUAAAAAUAAACGAGAAGAGAUGUAAAAAAUCGAAAGGAAAAGAGAGAGAGAGAGAGAGAGAGAGAGAGAGAGAGGGAGAGAGAGAAAAGAAAGAUAGAAAAGAAAAAAAAAAGAAAAGAAUCAAAUUGAUCUUUUAUUCAUAUCUUUGUCAAUUGUUUUCAAAAAAAAAAAAAAAAAAAAAAAAAAAAAAAAAAAAGGAAAAAAAGAAUUAAAAAAUGUACAAUGAUUUCAAUAUAUCGUAGAACGAUGGUAUACCAUAAUAACAGUAUUAACCUCUCCUCAUGUUCCUACCCUACAACCACCAUUCACCCACCCACCCAUCCACCCGCACGCGCUCGACAGAUUUAUCUUAGUCUCUUAUUUAUGUACGCCCACUGCUAUUACUGCUAUUAUACUAAUUUAGUUAAACCUUUAUCGCGUAAACCUUCAUUUCUAACUUUUCAAUGAGUUUUACUUUAACGAGACACGGAACCACACGACUUAACGGGAACGCACACACAUAGCUUUCGAACAAAGAACAUCGGAUCGAAAUAAUUGACGGAAAGGUUAAAGAUAGAGAGAAAGAGAGAGGUUAUAGAAGACAGAAAAAGGUGGAACGAUUCACAUUGGUAUCGCAUAGGUACGUACAAUGUAAGCUAAAUCGUGAAAAAGCCUUACUCGUCUUGCCAAGCGGUCAGUGGUUCUCUUGUCUUCGUUGUAUGCACGUGCCUUUCACUGUGUAUAUAUAUAUAUAUAUAUAUAUAUAUAUAUAUAUAUAUAUAUAUAUAUGUAUGGAUUUCUCGGGUAUGCUCUCGCUUGACCAGUGCAUACGCGACGGACGAUGCGGAUGGCCAAAGCAAACGCUAUGCGGAGAUCGUGCAUAUCAAAGACACGCAUCGUCGAAAGAGCCGUGCCGUGCCGUGCCGUGCCGAGUCACGCCGAGCCGCGUGUUCGCCACCGAUCUUCCAUCGAAAUGUUGAUAAUGGGGACACGGUAGGGGCGCAUUCGUGUCACAGAUAGAUACGUAUUUCGUUCUACUUCUUUGUCACUUAUUUCUUUUUUUUUCCCCUCUCUUUUCUUUUUUUUUUUUUUUUCUUUUUUCUAUUACCAUUAUUUUUUCGUCUUCAUUUUAUACACUCUUUUUCUUUUCUCUUUCUUUGUUUUUUUUUUGUUUUUGUUUUUUCCAUUCUCUUUCGUUUUCCUCCUUAUUACUUUCGUGUCCGAACUAAUUCGUUCGUUAUAAAAUUCUUUUUCUUCUUUUUUCUUUUCUAAUUGCAUUGGACACGUCUUAAGCGUUAAUUUAUUGCGAACUUUGCAAAAGAAACUUUUUCUUUUCUUUUCUAAUAGCUACGAUCUUCAGAUCGAAGUAUUGGGUACGAUAGGAUUGUUUUCUCGAGGAUCGAAUUUUUCUCGAACGGAAUAUAGAUCGAUACGAUUACUUAUUAUUCUUUGCACACACGCACGCACACACUCACACACACACACACACACACACACACACACACACACACACAUAUAUAUAUUAAUAUACACGCGUACGUUUAAAAUUGAUAUCAAUAUUGUGAAAUACUGUGAGAGCGCUUUGAAAAUAGUCGAUUGCACUUGGCCAUGAUAAACGACUGACGAGUCCUAAGAGAGAAUAAUAUUUUAUAUAUAUAUAUAUAUAUAUAUAUAUAUAUAUAUAUAUAUAUAAAUAAAACUGAGAAAACUAUAUAUCGUAUAAAAUCCAGGAUUGAUCUGCCGUUCGCAGAUUCAAAACACACGAUAGCAGCGUGGUCGUGUUUUAUCGCACUUUCUAUCGUUCGAUCUCUAACAACUUCAUCGACAAUAGAUGAGCCCGGGGGUGGGUGCGUGGGGUGGCUGUGGGAUGGCUGAACGGAGAGGGGAGAAAUAAUUGAGUCGAUAGUUUUGCGAGAGGGCGCGUGUCACAUAAGAGAUACGAAAAGGAAUCAUCCUCUUGUUUAGUCGGAUGGCGUUGUUGCUCCCAUUUGUAGAGAUGCACAGUAAAAUUAGAUAUAUAUGUAUAUAUAUAUAUAUAUAUAUAUAUAUAUAUUUAUAUAUUUAUGUGCAUAUAUAUAUAUAUAGAAAUUAGAUUAGCUUUUAGUUUUAGUUAGUGUCUUAUUUUUCUUCGAAUCUUCUUUCAAGAGGAUUUACAGAAAACAGGAUUCCUUGGAAUGAAAUGAAGGAGAAGCUGAAGGAGGAGGAGAAGAAGAAAAAGAUGAAGAAUUAGGAGGAGGAGGUGGAGGAGGUGGAGCGAAGAAGAAAAUUCUGCAGAGUAUCAUGUCUUUAUGUGCUAUCAUUGCAUCUCUCUUCUAUAUACAUAUAUAUAUACACACACACACACACACACACACAUAUAUAUAAAUAGAUAUAGAUAUAUAUA